CGGGAUGUAGCGCAGUCCGGUAGCGCACUUCGUUCGGGACGAAGGGGUCGCAGGUUCAAAUCCUGUCAUCCCGA
rnacentral:tRNA from 1 species